rnacentral:rRNA from 1 species
UACAGAGGGUGCAAGCGUUGUUCGGAAUCAUUGGGCGUAAAGCGCACGUAGGCGGCCUGAUAAGUCGGGUGUGAAAGCCCUGGGCUCAACCCAGGAAGUGCACUCGAAACUGUCAGGCUUGAAUAUGGAAGAGGGUCGCGGAAUUCCCGGUGUAGAGGUGAAAUUCGUAGAUAUCGGGAGGAACACCAGUGGCGAAGGCGGCGACCUGGGCCAAUAUUGACGCUGAGGUGCGAAAGCGUGGGGAGCAAACAGG